AAUGGCCUUCUUCUGUACU
rnacentral:miRNA from 1 species